UAUGAAAAACAAAUGAAAUUUUUCUCGUGCCGCUAAUCACCAAAAUGAUUUGAACUGUUUUGAAAUGUCACGAACGUCCAAACAAAUCUGUCAGAUGUGUCAAAAAUUGAAAUGCCCGGUUCGCGGUUUAAUUUCAUUUUAAUAAAUAGACACGAAAAGACGCCAGGCCAGAGCAUUAAGGGUUGCAGUGUUAUCGGGCAUUUGUGAACGCCACUGCAAUACAUUUCAGUUUCAAAAAUUGUAAAUUGUCAGAAAAACGUUUAAGGGCUUUGUCAUGAAUUACACCUUGGAAAGUCGAUUGGAGUUGAACAGAAUAAAUCAUCUGGUCUGUUUUGCAAAGAAGCAAUAAUUUUUCAAAUAAUGAAAUCCAAAAAGUGAGGUACCCUGAAGGUAAAAAUUGUGAAAAAUCACGUAAUGGACAAUGGCAGAGCAAGUCUUAUCACAGUUAACGAACACUAUGAGUACCUAAUGAGUUUUUGCAGUAAAUAAUUUUGCCAAAGUUGUGAUCCCGCGAAAGUUCUGUUUGUAAAUUGUAAGGAAUCGUCAGAAUAUUGGUGCAGACAUGGUUUGUGACCGGUGCUUUUCUCUUGAAAAAACACAACUGAAAUCCUUGAUCUUCAUCCCUACAAUAGGUGAAAACUGCUAUGUCCAAACAUUACCUUCAGCUUUGCAGUUUCUAGAUAUCUGAAACAUGCCAGAUCUGCAUAACAGGAAUGUCAAAGAGGUUCUACCCAAAACACGCCCACAUGGCCAUCCUAAUAUCAAGAUUUUUCAAAAUUUCUAUAAGAAAAAAGAUGAAAAAACCAAUAAAAUUUCAGGAGCAUAGUGUUAAGAGUUCUGUAGCUGAUUAUGAGAUCUCUUGAAACAACAGAAUGUUUAAUAAAGAUUUUUAACUUUCCUAAUAGUAAAAUUACAAUUAUUACUAAACAGUAAGUUGAAGUAAGUUUUAAAUUAAGAGAAUGCAACUAACACCGAAAGAAAAAUGAAAGUUACUGAAAAUAAAAAACUUUAUUGCAGUACCUACAUACACUUUCUACAUCUAAUUUUGUUUAUUGAUCACAUUCAUUUACUUGAAAAAGUAUCAGGCCUAUGAAUCGUCGUCUGCUAACCACACACCAACCUUCAUUGCGUGUGAUGGUGUUUCUUCAAAAGCCCUAACAGAUGAAACCAGGCUUCAUCAGAAAAGAACGACAAAUCGAGAAUCCCGUUAUCGUCCAUAUCAGCUUGAAACCAACUACACUAC